rnacentral:rRNA from 1 species
AACGAACGCUGGCGGCAUGCCUAACACAUGCAAGUCGAACGAGACCUUCGGGUCUAGUGGCGCACGGGUGCGUAACGCGUGGGAACCUGCCCUUAGGUUCGCAAUAACUCCCCGAAAGGGGUGCUAAUACCGGAUAAUGUCUUCGGACCAAAGAUUUAUCGCCUUUGGAUGGGCCCGCGUUGGAUUAGCUAGUUGGUAGGGUAAAAGCCUACCAAGGCGACGAUCCAUAGCUGGUCUGAGAGGAUGAUCAGCCACACUGGGACUGAGACACGGCCCAGACUCCUACGGGAAGCAGCAGUGGGGAAUAUUGGACAAUGGGCGAAAGCCUGAUCCAGCAAUGCCGCGUGAGUGAUGAAGGCCUUAGGGUUGUAAAGCUCUUUUACCCGGGAUGAUAAUGACAGUACCGGGAGAAUAAGCUCCGGCUAACUCCGUG